rnacentral:rRNA from 1 species
AACGAACGCUGGCGGCAUGCCUAACACAUGCCAGUCGAACGAGACCUUCGGGUCUAGUGGCGCACGGGUGCGUAACGCGUGGGAACCUGCCCUUAGGUUCGGAAUAACUCCCCGAAAGGGGUGCUAAUACCGGAUAAUGUCUUCGGACCAAAGAUUUAUCGCCUUUGGAUGGGCCCGCGUUGGAUUAGCUAGUUGGUAGGGUAAAAGCCUACCAAGGCGACGAUCCGUAGCUGGUCUGAGAGGAUGAUCAGCCACACUGGGACUGAGACACGGCCCAGACUCCUACGGGAGGCAGCAGUGGGGAAUAUUGGACAAUGGGCGAAAGCCUGAUCCAGCAAUGCCGCGUGAGUGAUGAAGGCCUUAGGGUUGUAAAGCUCUUUUACCCGGGAUGAUAAUGACAGUACCGGGAGAAUAAGCCCCGGCUAACUCCGUG